rnacentral:lncRNA from 1 species
CUGGGUUUCUCUCUCGACCGUCCUUUUCACUUGCCUUAGCUUGUUUUAGACGCCAACCAAACGAAAUAGCGUCUUUUCAACGCCAAAUUGCCCAACACUAUAAAAACCGUUCCCUUUACUCACAAAAUCUUAGAUCUCAGAUUUCAGAUAUCAAAUCUCGGAUCGUUUCUUACUCUCUUUGAAGAAAUUGUGUUGCGAUGGCUGAUUUUCGUCUUCAAGGUAUUUGUCAAUCUCAAUUCACAGAGAUUGCUGCUGAAAGAGCUAAAGUAGCUGCAGAGGAAUAUUUCAAGUCGGGAAACAUCGACAGGGCUAUUCAGCAAGGGUUCGCAGCACUCGAUUUGAACCCCAAUUUACGGAUCGUGCAGAAGUACAUUGCCGCCUAUUUGAUUCACAAGUUUGCUUCUAUGUUAAGUCUUUGCCAGAAAAUGAAGGUAGACGAUACCAAAGUUCUGUACUCCAUUCUUUUUAUCGAAGAUUGUUCUGCCGUAGUUGAUGCUGCGACUAUUAGAAAACACUACAAGGAAGUGGUACUAUUGGUCCAUCCGGACAAGAAUGAUUCAGUUGCAGCAGAUGGUGCUUUCAAGAUCGUUCGUCAGGCUUGGGAAACUCUCUUAUCUGAUCACAACAAAAGAAGAAAGACUCGAUGAAGAUGAAGUUUUUUGGUUUGGAUUAGAUUCAUUUUGAAUGUAUUCAAAUUUUUUUAUGAAUAAUAUGUAGUUAGUUUUUAUUUUGUUCUGAUUUUGUUACUUUUUUUAGAUUCAAUUUGAUUUUGAUUUUUAGUGUCAGUCCAAUUUCAUAAUUGAUCACAAUUAUGAUUAAGCAUUCCAAGUUAAAAUGCUACCAUCAUCAAUCCAUAAUAUAAUAUACAGAGUAAAUUGAAGCAAAUUAUUUGAAGAAUAUUCUGAUGUGGGUUUUUUAGGCAAUGAACGUUUUCUUUAAGCUUUCAGAUUUUAUUUUGUUAAAAUAAAUUGCUUUGUGUUAUAUAUUUUGUAAGUCUUUUUCGUUUGUUUUAAAUUGAAUUCUGAGUUCAAGAGGUUAUUGUAUUAAGAAACUAUGUGUUUUGCUUGCUUCAGUGUUUGUAUCGGUGCUGCAGUUAUUCACUUUCUUUCUGAUUUGAUACAAUCAAACUAAAAAAAAGAAGGAAAAAAAUUUUUUUUCACAAAAGUUACUAUAAUAUAUUUCUUUUUAUGGGUGAUAGUUUGUUGAUUAUUCGUUAUUUCAAUAUCAAUUCUUUAGUUUUGGCUCAAGUUAAACAGGCAUUGAAAAACCAAUACUUGCUUGCAAAAGAAGAUCCAUAUCGGUUCUACGUGUCUUUUGAUUCUUCAAUUGUUAUCAAAUGCUUGCUCAUGUUGUCCAGAUGUUCCCAAAUGAUGUUUACUUGGGCGAUAUCAUUGAUGCUGCAAAGUCUUUCAGGUUUGUUAUUCGGUUUUUCUCACUUAGAGGUUGAAUCACAAUUUAUCAUAUGUUUAUUUUUGCACAAAUGUGCAUGUGUAGUGUGAUUUCUUGGAAAAGCAGAAGUCCAAUAAUGGACUAUACACGUUCCUCUUUUAUCAUUACUCAUAUCUUAGCCUAAAUUACUCUUGUUGUUUCUGUGCUAAAAGUAAUGCCGCUAAUAUCUAGUUCUGGCCAACUUUUGCUGAGCUGUUUGCAAUAAUUGUUGUAUACACAUUUAUGUAAAGGUACAUUUUUUCUUGGGCCUUAAUUCACUUACCAUGUAGUUCUCUCCUGAAUCAUGUUUUUGUCCCAUUUAUAAAUGUUAGGCUAUGAUUUGAAUUGCCUUGUUAAGGAGGCAUUAUCUAUUGAAAUGUUGCUGGCAGCUAUCCUCUAACUUAAGGGUGCAGGAGACACGGUCUUCAUUGGAGUGGUUUGUGGGAAAAGUACAAGACAUGAUUACCUAAAUACUUUGAGACGAUCUAUAGUGAAGAGUACAAAUAAAUCAAGGUGAUAGGUUUAAAGAAGCUGAUCAGUUUUGCACUUCAUUGCCUUUGUCAUAUAAAAGUUUUAAUCUCUAUUCACCCACCAAAAAGGAGGAAUAGGAAAGAAAAUUGCAAAAGUGGAAGCUUUUUUACAUUUGCAUAAUGCCUGAUGCACGCAUAUGUUUAAGCACUUAGAGAGAGAUGAGACAAUGGAAGCUCACUUGGUGGGGGAAUUGAUGCAUUCAUAAAGCUGUCUCAAAGUUAGCUGCUAUUAAAAUCUCUAUUCAAUGUUCUAUAUACUUACUAAAAUUUGAAGUCUAUGUUCCAAAUUCUGAGGAAAUCAUUGGUAGAGAUAUCACCUGGAUCGGAUCCUGGUACAAAUACAUCUCAACACCUGUGGAGAAAUGUUAGUUAUGUUUCUGUUAGUAGCUUUUGUACUAGUGUAAUUUUCAUUACAUAAAUCAGUCAUGUAGGGUGCCUAGUGAUUUGAUUAUGAUAAUUGAUUUCCACGGUAAGAUGUACAAGUUUGGGUACUCCAGGACCAGAUCUCCAUUGCAGUGAUGUGCAAAGUACAAGGAAAACUUUGUCAAGGGUCAUAAAUAUUGUGAAAGGGUUAACUCUAGCAUUUGUUUUUAAUUUACACUAGAUCUUCUGUCUGCUCGUGAGUAACGGGUUUUGCUUGUUUUCAUGACUUUUUCUUUAAAUUUAUCAUCACUAUUCACCAUGAUAUAUAUGAAUGAUAAUUAAAGAUAUAUUAAAAGAUAAUGACAAGAAAAUAUUGAGUUGUUCAGCUUUAAUUAUUUGGCACAGGCAAUGAGGGCAAAUGCUAUUGGCAGUUGUGUUGUGCUCAACCAUGGAGGAGGCUGCGCGGUAGACAAGAUGCUCAUGGAUUUUGCUACACCAUCAAUGCACCCAAUGAUACUUGCAUUUGUCGUCACCCUUGUUAAUUCAUUUUUAAUUUUAUUAUUAUUUAUCUUUUUAAAAAUUGAUUUUACUAGAAUUCUGAUCAAUUUUGCUUUUCUAAUUUAAAUACUGUCUUUUAUGGUUUCUUUAUGCCUUGUAUAUUGGUGCACAGUAUGAUGCAUUUAACUUGAUAUACAUAAGAUGCAGAAUAUGAUACAUUUAAUUUGAUAUUGCAUUACAGGUAGAAGACUUUAGGCAGCAGGGAACUAAGAUGAGAAGAAAGAUGUGGCUUCAGAAUAUGAAGAUAAAAUUGAUUGUUUUGGGUAUCCUUAUUGCCCUGAUUCUUAUCAUUGUGCUGUCAGUCUGCCACGGCUUCAAAUGUUAAUCUGUCUUGGAUUUCCCUUGUACCGCUCUUGCUGCCUGGGUUGUCUUGAUAGAUUGGUUUGUCUUACUUGUUUUUUUAGGGCAUAUAUUUCUCCCUUUGCUAGCCUUUUAGGAUAGGGGGAGGCUUUGUAUCUUGGUUGGCUGUAUAGGUUAUAGUUUGAACUUGUUACGGUAGAUAAAAAUUUCUAUGGAGGAUUUCUUCUUUAUAUUGUGAUGGGGGUAUACUCGGAUGCCUGCGUAUCAUAUUUGUCCUUUUGAAAUGUUAUUAAUCUGUUUUUUUUGUUUUUCUCGCUUAUCAUGUAAAUCCUUUUGUAUGCCUUUCUCUUUUAGACGUAAGAGGACACAGUUGGUUUUGUAAAAUUUUUUAAUGCUUAGGAGCCUAUGGUUGCAUGAGUAGCUCGGUGUCUUUGCCUUCCGCAGGGAAGGUCUUUAGCUCCAAUGAUUAGAGCGAUGUGUAUGAUUGAUUUUCCCCCACUCCCCUUGAAGUCUUGUUGAUGAAGAAUUGUUUUGUCAAAAAAUAAAAAAAUGAUUUGUUAAAAAACUAGUUUGACUACGAAACAAAUCGAAUUGUAUUUGGCAGUUGGUUCCUUUUCGAUUUUACAUUAUUCAAAUCAAAGGAGUUAGCAUAUUUUCACUUGAAAACGACCUAAUUUGAGUUUUUAAUUGUAAAUCGAAUUUGAGAAAUGAAAACUAAUAUCCCAAAGAACAGAUUAUAAUCUAUGAAAAAUUGUAACAAUGAUGUGAAGCAGAAGCACUACUGUUCUCAUGGUUUUGUACAUAAUAUGCUGAGAUUAGAUCUCACUAUUGAAAAAAUUAAUGCCUAACUCAAAUUUUAACAUUUUGAAAUUCUUUCAAUAUAAAAUACCUAAAAGUUUAAUGCCCGUUGUUGGCUGGAUCGUCCUUGUCCCAUUAUCCUCUCUAACCCACCCUUUUAAGUACUUAAUAUAUAUAUAUAUUAAUGAAAAUAAAAGACUACAAAAGUAGUCUGUUAUAACAAUUAAAUACCUUUAAUUAUAAUUAUUCUCAAUCAUAAUUUCUUAUUGCAGUCAAUACCAAAUUGAAUUUUGGUUCAAGUAAGAAAGAUAAGAUGCAUUUUGAGUAGAAAUUUUAAAUUCAAAUCAUAGAGUUCAUCACGUGAAAAAGAAAAAAAAAAUUUUUUGAAUAAUUUUGAGAGAAAAUGACGUCGUUUGUUGUUAGUCACUUGAAAUGAGUGAAAUGACGUCGUUUCCUUCUUAAUGCUUAUUUCUCUCCUGCCACACGGUGUCGUUUUACCAAGCAAUAAAUGCAUCCCGUGAAACCCUGGCCUGUUUCUUUUUCUUCCUUGUCUGGCUAGGACUCUAACCGAGCCGCACCACCUCUCUCCCACGAUGGUUCCUGGGUUUCUCUCCCGACCGUCCUUUUCACUUGCCUUAGCUUGUUUUAGACGCCAACCAAACCAAAUAGCGUCUUUUCAACGCCAAAUUGCCCAACACUAUAAAAACCGUUCCCUUUACUCACAAAAUCUUAGAUCUCAGAUUUCAGAUAUCAAAUCUCGGAUCGUUUCUUACUCUCUUUGAAGAAAUUGUGUUGCGAUGGCUGAUUUUCGUCUUCAAGGUAUUUGUCAAUCUCAAUUCACAGAGAUUGCUGCUGAAAGAGCUAAAGUAGCUGCAGAGGAAUAUUUCAAGUCGGGAAACAUCGACAGGGCUAUUCAGCAAGGGUUCGCAGCACUCGAUUUGAACCCCAAUUUACGGAUCGUGCAGGAGUACAUUGCCGCCUAUUUGAUUCACAAGUUUGCUUCUAUGUUAAGUCUUUGCCAGAAAAUGAAGGUAGACGAUACCAAAGUUCUGUACUCCAUUCUUUUUAUCGAAGAUUGUUCCGCCGUAGUUGAUGCUGCCACUAUUAGAAAACACUACAAAGAAGUGGUACUAUUGGUCCAUCCGGACAAGAAUGAUUCAGUUGCAGCAGAUGGUGCUUUCAAGAUCGUUCGUCAGGCUUGGGAAACUCUCUUCUCUGAUCACAACAAAAGAAGAAAGACCCGUUGAAGAUGAAGUUUUUUGGUUUGGAUUAGAUUCAUUUUGAUAUGUAUUCAAAUUUUUUAUGAAUAAUAUGUAGUUAGUUUUUAUUUUGUUCUGAUUUUGUUACUUUUUUUAGAUUCAAUUUGAUUUUGAUUUUUAGUGUCAGUCCAAUUUCAUAAUUGAUCACAAUUAUGAUUAAGCAUUCCAAGUUGAAAUGCUACCAUCAUCAAUCCAUAAUAUAAUAUACAGAGUAAAUUGAAGCAAAUUAUUUGAAGAAUAUUCUGUUGUG